rnacentral:rRNA from 1 species
CAGCCGCCGCGGUAAUACGUAGGGUGCGAGCGUUAAUCGGAAUUACUGGGCGUAAAGCGUGCGCAGGCGGUUUUGUAAGACAGGCGUGAAAUCCCCGGGCUCAGCCUGGGAAUGGCGCUUGUGACUGCAAAGCUAGAGUGCGGCAGAGGGGGAUGGAAUUCCGCGUGUAGCAGUGAAAUGCGUAGAUAUGCGGAGGAACACCGAUGGCGAAGGCAAUCCCCUGGGCCUGCACUGACGCUCAUGCACGAAAGCGUGGGGAGCAAACAGGAUUAGAUACCCGCGUAGUCCCUGUCUCUUAUAC